UUAAACCUAUUUAUUCUGGCGGCAUUUCAUCUUAUUAAAGGAACCUGUUUUCUAAUCGAUAAUCCACGAUAAGUUUUACUUAAAUUAAAAAUUUAUAUACCGCCAUCUAAAAAACUAAUUUAAUAAUAAUAUUUUUUAAAAAGUUAGGUCAAGGUGUAAUCUAUAUUUAAGUAAAUAAUGGGUUACAUUAAAAAAUAUUUAAGGAUAUUUUUAUAAAAGUAAAUUUUGAAAAGGGAUUUAGAAGUAAUAAUAAAAUAAUAUUUUAUUAUG
rnacentral:rRNA from 1 species